rnacentral:rRNA from 1 species
GCGGAAGGAUCAUUAAAGAGUAAGGGUGCUCAGCGCCCGACCUCCCACCCCUCUGUUGUUAAAACUACCUUGUUGCUUUGGCGGGGCCGCUUUGGUCCGUCCGAGCCGCCGGGGCCGUCAAAAGCCCAGGCGAGUUCCCGCCAGAGUUAAACCAAACUCUUGUUAAUUAAACCGGUCGUCUGAGUUAAAUUUUUGAAUAAAUCAAAACUUUCAACAACGGAUCUCUUGGUUCUCGCAUCGAUGAAGAACGCAGCGAAAUGCGAUAAGUAAUGUGAAUUGCAGAAUUCAGUGAAUCAUCGAAUCUUUGAACGCACAUUGCGCCCCUUGGUAUUCCGAGGGGCAUGCCUGUUCGAACGUCAUUACACCACUCAAGCACAGCUUGGUAUUGGGCUUCCGUCUCCCUCGCGGGGGGCGAGCCUCAAAGACCUCGGCGGAGCUUCGCCGGCUUUAGGCGUAGUAGAAUUUAUUCGAACGUCUUUCAACGGAGAGGACUCCUCAGCCGACAGAAACCUUUAUAUUUUUCUAGGUUGACCUCGGAUCAGGUAGGGAUACCCGCUGAACUUAAGCAUAUCAAUAAGCGGAGGAAAAGAAACCAACAGGGAUUGCCCCAGUAACG